GCAAAACAGAAAAUUAGAAAAAAUAUAGGGAACAAAUUCACCUGGAUAUAUAGGAGAUCGUAAUUAGUUUUGAUACCAAUGCUACAAAACAUUAGAGUCAUACAUUGGAUUUAUGAUUUUCAGUUUCAAGGCUUCAUUCGACGACUGAUUUGAUUUAUGAUAUCUACAAAAAAACAAGUAUUAGCGAUUUCAUUCGGCGGUAAUGGGCUUUCUAAGCCCAUUCCAACUUCCAUUUAGUAUGAUAUUGUUCUCUUUGGGCUUACAUGCUCAAGCCCGCAAGGAUUUGUUAUUGGACUCCUUCCUAAAAGGCCUUAUACUAGUUAGAGUUGGACUUGGCUUAUAUAUUAGAAACUCUUUUUCUAAACUUCAAAUGUGGAACCUUUGGUUUGUACCAACAAUCUUCCCUUCAAACCAAACUCCACGAACUUGGGCCUCCUCUUCAACGAAACUUUGGCACCCUUAACUAGGCACCUUCUUAUUCGUGAAAUUCUUGAGGCACCUUCUUAUCGUGUCAUGUUUGAGAGAUUCUCCCACACCGAUCAUACCCCAAGCCAUAGGUCCACUUUUUCAACCUAGGCUUUGAUACCAUUGAAUGGGCUUUCAUUCCAACUUCCAUUUAGUAUGAUAUUGUCCUCUUUGGGCUUACAUGCUCAAGUCCGCAAGGAUUUGUUAUUGGACUCCUUCCUAAAAGGCAUCAUACUAGUUGGAGUUGUACUUGGCUUAUAUAUUAGAAACUCUUUUUCUAAACAUCAGAUGUGGGACCUUUGGUUUGUACCAACAGGCGACUGAUUAGGUAGUCGUUCAUUUUGGCGACUGAAUAAUGACGUAUUAGCGACUAAAUAGUCUAGAUUAUACAUUAGUCGAUAAUCAGUCUAUAAUGUGAGACAGAUUAAAUUAGUCGCUAAUAGGUCUCCAGUUACAACUACAAUUUAGCGACUCAUAUAUUCUAUUUGGGCAUUAAAUUGGGCUUUUAUCGGCUAGAUCCAAUAACGAGAGCCCAUCAGCCUAGACUAUAUAAGGUCUU
rnacentral:sRNA from 1 species